GACGGAAGGUGCAAGCGUUGCUCGGAAUCACUGGGCGUAAAGGGCGCGUAGGCGGCCGCGCAAGUCUGGCGUGAAAGCCCCGGGCUCAGCCCGGGAAGUGCGCUCGAAACUGCGCGGCUCGAGUGCCGGAGGGGAGAGUGGAAUUCCUGGUGUAGCGGUGAAAUGCGUAGAUAUCAGGAGGAAUACCGGUGGCGAAAGCGACUCUCUGGACGGCAACUGACGCUGAGGCACGAAAGCGUGGGGAGCAAACAGG
rnacentral:rRNA from 1 species